AGCGAACGCUGGCGGCAGGCCUAACACAUGCAAGUCGAACGGACCCUUCGGGGUUAGUGGCGGACGGGUGAGUAACACGUGGGAACGUGCCUUUAGGUUCGGCAUAGCUCCUGGAAACGGGUGGUAAUGCCGAAUGUGCCCUUCGGGGGAAAGAUUUAUCGCCUUUAGAGCGGCCCGCGUCUGAUUAGCUAGUUGGUGAGGUAAAGGCUCACCAAGGCGACGAUCAGUAGCUGGUCUGAGAGGAUGACCAGCCACAUGGGGACUGAGACACGGCCCAAACUCCUACGGGAGGCAGCAGUGGGGAAUCUUGCGCAAUGGGCGAAAGCCUGACGCAGCCAUGCCGCGUGAAUGAUGAAGGUCUUAGGAUUGUAAAAUUCUUUCACCGGGGACGAUAAUGACGGUACCCGGAGAAGAAGCCCCGGCUAACUUCGUGCCAGCAGCCGCCGUAACAC
rnacentral:rRNA from 1 species